GGAGAAUCUUGUUGCCACAUUGGCAUAAGCAAAGACUCUUAAAGAGACAUUAAAAGAAAAAAAUAAUGUUAAAUUGGGCUUUAUGAAAAUUUGAAAUUACUGCUUACCAAAAGAGAUAUCAAACUGGGCCCAGGAGUACAUGCUGUAAUCCCUGCUACUCAGUAGACUGAAGCGGGAGGAUCACAAGUUUAAGGCCAGCCUCAGCAUCUUAGUGAGACCUGAAAACAAAAUAAAAAGGCCUGUGGAUAUAGCUCAGCUAGGAAGGCCUUGGGUCCCCUCCGUCCCCAAUACAGGGGGGGAAAAAAGUCCAUUUGGGGAAGGAAAAAAGAGAGGGGAGUACAGUUUCAGUUGGACAGAUGAAAAGUUCAGAAUACUUGAUAGUGAUGUGAAAGGAUUUAAUGCCACUGAACUCUAGAUUUACAAUUUGUUACAAAGGGCUUGAGUCAACAGUGCAUGCCUUUAAUUCCAAGGACUCAGGCCACCAAGGAGGAGGAUUAGUAGGAGAUCAGCCUGGGCAACUUAGCCAGACCUUGUCUCAAAAUAAAAAGUAAAAGAGCCGGGGGUGGGCUGGGGCCUUAGCCCAGUGGCAGAGCGCUUGCCUGGCGUGUGAGAGGCUAGAUCUUAAAUUUUUUCAUACAAAAAAGUGUGUCAGGUGACUGCUAUGUUAAUUAGCUUGAAUUAAUCCUGGCACAGUGUGUACUUAUAUCAAAACAUCACAUUGUACACUGUAGUUACAUAUAGUUUUAGUCAUUUCUAUCUUAAAGCUAUGGUGGGGGCAAAAAAAAUAUUUUAUAUAAAUAGGGCUUUCUUUCCUCAGGGCCAUAUUUUUUUCAUAAGUUUUCCUGCAUUCUGUUAAUUUAGCAUUUCAGUAUUUGCAAGAAUUCAGGAUCAUUUAUUGACAUGUUAAAAAUUAUUCUCAGUAUAUAUAUCUUAAAGUCUUUACCAUUUAUUCUCCUCUGAGGAUAUGAUAUGACAGAUUAUCCCUACAUUAUAAUUUUAAUCUUCAAGCCCUCAGCCCUAUGGGUCCCCUUUUUUUGUUCAUUUCUUAACAUUAAUUCUUCUAAAAGCAUAGAUUUAGAUUUAUGAACUAAAGCCAGAUUUUCCUCUUUUUAAUUAUUUAUUUAUUUAAUUCUUCAAGUGCUCUUCUUUUUUUCUUCUGCUGGGGAUCAAACCCAGGGCUUUGUGACAAGCACUGUACCACUGAGCUAGCCCCUAAGAUUCUCCUGCUCUUAACAGUAGUUAUCAAGACUUUGUCAGUUACAUAGAUAAAAUUCCUCACAAUUAUAGAUAUAGGUUUGUAAUUACAUAAUAUAUACGUUACCUGCUUUUAUAAGUCCCCCAAAUAUGUUGCUUUUCAAAUG
rnacentral:lncRNA from 1 species